AUCCGAUCAAUUUAUUGGUUCCAUUCCCCCUAGUAAUAAUGAUCCAUUUGCAGUGACGAUGACAAUCAAAGUUUAGGGCAAGAAAUAUAGAAGAUAAAGAAAACUAUAAACAAUUACAACUGUACAGUAGAAAGGAUCGGCAAAACAACAUAAACAGAAGACAACAAGGCCUAAAUGGUGCAGAGACUUCUUGGUUUUCAUGAUCAUCAACAGAUCAAUACAGAAGAGGAAACUUAAGGUUAAUACUUUUCUACAUUGUGUGCUAAUUGGAUUAAUGUGAAAUGAAAUGUGUGCUUACCUGGAAAAAGAAAAUAGGAAAUUUCUACAAAAUGGCUGUACACAAAAUGGAGUACAAUCAUAGAUGCACAAGAACACAAUUGUGUAAUUGCAACAACCUACACUGAAGGAUUAGGGAAAAAUGUAGAAAAAAUAGUAUUUUUUUGUCAAAAUAAACACCUGCUUUAUCCAUUCAUGUACAUAGCUCUGUCAUAUCAACUAUAUAGAGGAAGAUGUUUGAAGAACAAAUUGCAAAAAUGUAUUCUCUACCAAUUGAAGGAAGAUGUCUGGUGGAUGGAAUUAUUUAUGCACUGAACUGUUUUGUAGGGGAUUGAAUAAUUGUACGCAGCAGAAAAGUUAAAUUAACAUGAAAAGUGGUUAUUUUAUUUAAUCCGCAAAUAUGAGCACAAUAUUAAUAACAUCACAAAUAGUAUGAUAUUCAUAGCGUUUUGCUUAUUAUUGUAUUGUCUCAAACAGCUAGCCUAUUGUUUUUGUAUGUCAUAUUACUCAUCAGUGAACAUUUUAUUAAAGUUUUAAUUAUC